rnacentral:lncRNA from 9 species
AAUGUUCUCAUGCUCUCAGUGAGGUAUAGAGGCAGCAAAGAGCGGACAGAUUUCAAGCUUGGACUCUGAAGAAGGCAAUAGCUAUCAUGAUGAUGGACAAGCAUCAUUGGAAACCCCAGAGGUUCAAGGUAUAGGGAAGGUCGCAAGGCACCAAAGGGAAGAGGAUGGAAGAAAAAGAAAGAUGAUUAGCAAUCUGCCAGAGUCCACAAGGAAAGAAUGUGAACUCAGAAGUGUUAACUGAGCAGAGGUUAAUGAAGCAGCUGUUUACUGAGGGGGUUGAAGGUAAGAGGACCCACAAGAGGUAGUGAAAUGUUCAGGGACUAGUGGAAGCUAUUUCCCAACUAAGCCUGAAAGGGCAGGGAAAAUUGAUAGAGUUAUAAAACUCAAAGACAGUUUUGGGCCAAGAAAGAAAAGAAUUAUGAUUGUAGAAUGUUAACUAUGGCCAGAAUCCAGGCCAGGCAGGGAGAAUGUGAGGUGAACAAAUACCUACAACUUCACUCUCUUCUCACCUUCUGACUCUGGUUAGUAUUUUUCAUCAACCAAACCAAAACUAAAAGCCAGAGGGUGAGAGAGCCCAAAUGAUGAGUUCGUGGUCUUGAUACCUAGAUGUUGAGGGAGUAGGACCCUCCAAAGACGGGUCACCUUGAAUAUCCAGUUACCAAGGAGGAAAAGAUUAUUGAUUGAUCAGCAUUUGAGCCAGGCCUUAACAACUGUGAUUAAUUUUAUAGGAUUAAAAAUCACAGGGAAUUGGAUCACGAUAAAUAGCUUGAAACCAAGGAUUUGAAUACAGCAGACAUUGUGCAGGUGUGUAUUUUUGAGGACCCAGUUCCAUGGAGUAGGAGCAGGCCUUGUGGUUUGGGCUAUUAGUCCCUUGGGCAUGUUCUUCUCCCAUCUGCUCUUAUCCCAUAGUCCCCAAGAGGCCUAGAUAUCAACCUUUAGUACUUCCAGAAGGCUUCAGAGUCUGUACAUAACCCUUAAUGAUUCUGACGAAAAUGUCAGAAAUGGGGAUUGAGGUUAGGUCCUGAGAGCGAGGGUCAGGAAGUUGCUUCAGGCCAGUGUUUCAUAUGUGCUACUCAGAGGCUCUUCAGGUGGAACAUUUAUAUUUAAUAGCUCUUUUUGCUUUCUUGGUUUUUUUUAAUGUUUUGUUUUGGAAAAAUCAUUUGAAGCUUGGCGUAGAUCUUUACUAUCUUUUCCAGGCAGAAAAAUUUUAAAUCUCAUUAUGCUGUUUGUAGUCACUCACAUCAGUUUUUUUUUUUUUUUUUUUUUUUUGGCAAUCUUGCAGAAAUAGAACUGAAUUAAAACACAGGGUGUUCCAGAAGCACUUGUAGUGGAGCUCUUCUGAAAAUAGCCUGCCUCUGGCUGACAGGGGUCUUACUUUGGAUGUUUAAUUCUGAAAUCUAUGGAGGAAAUUAAAAUACAGACCUUCCCUAGGAGAGAGAAUCUGUUCAAAAUUACUUUUGACUGUGGCCCUUCUCCUGCCCCUUCAUGUACAUUAAGUACAACAAACUAUACUUAAACAGUCAUCUAAGUGGGAGAUCCAGAGAAUCUUAGCAUAAUUGGUUAUGAUUCUUUAUUAAGUGUUAGUAUAAGUGAGAUUGCAGAAGGUUAAAUCAGCUCCUUUGCCAAAGCUGAUGGUUCUUGCCUCCUAUACCAGCUCUAUGAUCAUUCAGUUUAACAAAUGUAUUUUGAGUAUAUUAUACAUACAAGGCGUUGUGCCCAGUCCUAUAGUUGAGCAAGAUAAAUCUCUUUCCUUUAAGGAGCUUACAAUAAAUAGGAAGACAAAGUAAAUUCAUAAGAAAACUUACUACAAUGUAAAGCAAAAUUUAGUAUCUCUUGCCAUGAGGGUUACCCAGAGGUCUUCCAGUUCAAAAUGGCAAAAUAAGGAGAAAGCACAUCUAGCUGAUAUUACUGAGGAGCUUGCAUUUGAUAUUUGAGGACUGGAAAGAAUUUGGUUGGUGGAGGGGGUUGGUAGAGGUUAUUCUAGGCUGCAGAGAAGCAGAAGUGAGAAAGUAUGGUGUGGGGGUUCCUGUGAGCAAAAACUGAGUCUGUGCGACUGUAUUAUACAGAGGAAGGGGGAAUUUGAUGAGGAAGGCUUUGGAUGCCAGAGGAAGCUAUCCAUAAUUCAUUUGAAUUGAGAGUCAUUAAAGGCUUGGAGUGAAGCUGUGAUGUAAUUGACACUGCUAGAAGAUAAAUCUGUUGCAUUUUCAAGAGCGAAAUGGAGGAAGGAAGUCCAGUUAGGAAGUUAGUGUGAAAGCUUGGCCUUGAGGUAAUGAGGUCCAGAGCAAGUAGAGUAAAAAUGGGAAUUAGGAGAACAGGUAUUGUAGAGGAAGGUCCUGUAAGACUAGCAGCUGACUGGCUAGAGGGGACAACUGAGAAAAAUGGAGAUUGAUUUCAGGUAUCACGUUGGGUGAGUGAGAGAGUACUGCUGCCAUAAAGAUAAAGGAGGGUAAAUGUAGGAAGCUGCCUCACAGAGUAUCAUGAUUUCACUUUGGACAUUGAAAUGCUAUAGGACCUCCUGCCAAAGUUAGCACACAGACUGGUGUGAAGGCACCUGCCUUUAGGACAGUGCUCAGAAGUGUAACUAGACAUCCAGGAGUCAUUUGAAUAUCUGUGAUAGUUGACACUGACGGAAGGUGACAUCCUUUUGAAAGAGUGUUUGUUGAUAAAAACAGAGGUUUUAUAAAAACAGAUAAAGAGGUUUUAGGCAGAACGCUCUUUGACAGAAAUCCCAGCAACCUCUCGUUUGAUCCACCUCUUAGAAUAAUGAAAAUAAAAACAAAAAUAAACCAACAGGGCCUAAGUAAAGCUUUUGCACAGCAAAUGAAACUUUUAAAAAAAUGAAAGGAAGGAGUUCCCUUUGUGGCACAGUGGAAAUGAGUCUGACUAGGAACUAUAAGUUUAUGAGUUUGAUCCCUGGCUUUGCUCAUUGGGUUCAGGAUCUGGUGUUGCCAGGAGCUGUGAUAUAGGUCACAGAUGCUGUCAGAUCCUGCAUUGCUGUGGCUGUGGUGUAGGCUGGCAGCUGUAGCUCUGACUGGACCCCUGGCCUGGGAAUCUGCAUAUGCCAUGAGUAUGGCCCUAAAAAGCCAAAAAAAAAAAAAAAAAAA